CCUACGGGAGGCAGCAGUGAGGAAUAUUGGUCAAUGGCCGUAAGGCUGAACCAGCCAAGUCGCGUGAAGGAAGAAGGAUCUAUGGUUUGUAAACUUCUUUUAUAGGGGAAUAAAGGUAUCCACGUGUGGAUAUUUGCAUGUACCCUAUGAAUAAGCAUCGGCUAACUCCGUUCCAGCAGCCGCGGUAAUCCGGAGGAUGCGAUCGUUCUCCGGAUUUAUUGUGUUUAAAGGGUGCGUAGGUUGUUUUUUCAGUCAGCGGUGAAAGUUUGUGGCUCAACCAGAAAAUUGCCGUUGAAACUGGAAGACUUGAGUGGGUGUGAGGUAGGCGGAAUGCGUGGUGUAGCGGGGAAAUGCAUAGAUAUCACGCAGAACUCCGAGUGCGAAGGCAGCUUACUAAGCCAUAACUGACACGGAAGCACGAAAGCGUGGGGAUCAAACAGGAUUAGAUACCCUUGUAGUC
rnacentral:rRNA from 1 species